rnacentral:siRNA from 1 species
CGAGUCUGGUAAUUGGAAU